AUAAUCCCUGAGAUAAGUAGUUCUGGCCCUAGAGUGUUAUAUAUAUUAGCGUCUGUAGCAUGUAUCAGGAACAUGUUAUCAUACCUGUGUCUUUUUGCAGGUUACUGAUGCCAGAUGAGAAGGGGAACGUGACCUAUAAUGCCGUCAGCUUUAAGAAAGGAUGCACAAUACAGGGGGAGAUUUAUCAAAACCUGUGCAGAGGAAGAGUGGUGCAGUUGCCCAUAGCAACCAAUCAGAUUGCAUCUUUCAUUUUCCAAAGGCCUCUUUAGAGGUGACUGAUGCCAGGUGAGAAGGGAAACGUGACCUAUACUUCCGUCAGUUGCAAGAAAGGAUGCACGAUACAGCCUUUUAAAGUUCUUUGCCAAACCAGCAGCACUAUCCAAAUCCAGCUUCCAGGUAGCAUUGCCAAGCCUCUGAGACAUCACAUGCCAUAAGGAUACCACGAGGUCUGCACUAAUACAUCGCUUGAUACCAUCCACUGCGAAAGAUCUUGGGAGCGGCUUCAAUUCAAUCCUGUCUGUGGCAGGCAGACCGCCGUGGUGACGCAUGCCAGCGUCUUAUCCCAUCCAAUACUUGCGGACCUCACCAUCUAUCCUCAGGUGACGUUUGUUUAAACACACACAAGGGUGGUAACUAUAUUCUAACUAUCCAUCUUACAUUUGCCAUAUCGGAAUCCCAUACUAUUUGCGGGACUUUAGAUUAUUUCUGGACUAUCAAUUGCCAGAUUAUUGAAAGUUACAUCAAUUUCAUUUUAAUCUACCUGUGUUAGAUAUAUGUUCUUAUAUAAUUUAUGCUUUAUACUUCUUU